ACCGCUGGUUCUCGGAGCUGCCGUCGCCGCAGCGCGUGGAGUUCCUGUGCGGCCUGCUGGACCUGUGCAUCCCGCUGGAGCGGCGCUUCCUCGGCUCGUGCCUCGAGGACCUGGCGCGCAAGGACUACCACUCGCUGCGCGACUCGGAGAUCAAGGCCAACAACCCGGCUGACCUGGGGAGCCUCACCAACCUGACGGACGAGGUGGUGCGCAGCAAGCUGCUGGUGUCGCUGGCGCUGCUGGGCUCCGAGCAGCGCGAGGCGGCGGGCGUGCUCUACCGCACGCUCACGCACAUCGACUCCAUCAUCCAUAACUACGGGCUGCAGCUCAACGAGGGCCGCACGGGCGAUGAGUUCCUGCUGCUCUUUACCAUGGCCUCCAACCACCCGGCCUUCAGCUUCCACCAGAAGCAGGUGCUGCGCCAGGAGCUCACGCAGAUCCAGAGCAGCCUGAGCGGUGGCGGCGGGGGCCCCGGGGGCAAGGGCGCCCCUGGACCCACCUGCCCGGCCUGCCACAAGUGAGCGUUGAAAAGAUUGAUCUGAAGGGAUUAUCACACACAAAAAGUGACAGGAAUGUUGAAUGUUCCUUUGAGGUCUUGUGGUCUGACUCUUCAGUAACAUCCGUAACCAAAUCUUCCUCAGAAGUGACUGAGUUCAUUUCAAAGUUGUCCCAGGUGUGCCCGGAAGAGAACCUGGAGAAGCUCAUUCCCUGCCUGGCGGGCCCAGACUCCUUCUACGUGGAGCGGAACCAUGUGGACCUGGAGGCCGGCCUGAGGUAUUUGGCUUCAUUACCUUCUCAUGUAUUAAAAAACGACCAGAUUAAGAAAUUUUUCAGCACUUCGUCUUCUACCCAACAGCUUCAAAGUCCAGGUGAGUUUGUAAUAUGAUUCAGAAGUAAACCACGGCGUUUUUAUUGCAUGUAACUUUUCAUUCGAUUUAUUUCCUGACUUCCAGGUCCCGGCAACUCUUCCCUCCCUAAAGUGGGCACCAUGGUGGGCGCGUCUGGAAGGUGAGGCUGCGCUCGCUUGUUUCUGGAGUGAAUCUGGGCUCAGCCCUAGCUGGGGGAGCGAGAGGCCCUUCACGACGUUCCGAGAGUGCUUAGCAG
rnacentral:lncRNA from 1 species